UGAGUAACGCGUAUGCAACUUGCCUAUCAGAGGGGGAUAACCCGGCGAAAGUCGGACUAAUACCGCAUGAAGCAGGGAUCCCGCAUGGGAAUAUUUGCUAAAGAUUCAUCGCUGAUAGAUAGGCAUGCGUUCCAUUAGGCAGUUGGCGGGGUAACGGCCCACCAAACCGACGAUGGAUAGGGGUUCUGAGAGGAAGGUCCCCCACAUUGGAACUGAGACACGGUCCAA
rnacentral:rRNA from 1 species